rnacentral:rRNA from 1 species
AUUAUUUGACAAUGGGGGCAACGCUGAUCCAGCCAUGCCGCGUGUGUGAAGAAGGUCUUCGGAUUGUUAAGCACUUUAUGUUGGGAGGAAGAGCAGUAAGUUAAUACACUGAAGAUUUGACGUUACCAACAGAAUAAGCACCGGCAAACUCUGCGCCAGCAGCCGCGGUAAUACAGAGGGUGCAAGCGUUAAUCGGAAUUACUGGGCGUAAAGCGCGCGUAGGUGGUUCAGUAAGAUGGGUGUGAAAUCCCCGGGCUUAACCUGGGAACUGCUUUCAUAACUGCUGAGCUAGAGUACGGUAGAGGGUAGUGGAAUUUCCUGUGUAGCGGUGAAAUGCGUAGAUAUAGGAAGGAACACCAGUGGCGAAGGCGACUACCUGGACUGAUACUGACACUGAGGUGCGAAAGCGUGGGGAGCAAAC